AUUAAAAUAAUCCCCACUUUUUCAUAAGUGGGAAAAAAUGAAAAAGUGGGGAUAUAAGUAGAUUUAAUCACUUUCGUCGAUAGUUUGUUUUAAAGUUUAACCGGUAAUGUUAGCUUUGAUUUGGUUAUUAUUUUUUAUAUUGUAGAAUUUUGUGCCAGCAUACGCGGUUAUACAAUUUAUGUAAAUUAAUAUUUUUGGUUUAAUUGAAGUUUAAUUUAUUUUUUGUUUAAUAUUUAAAAUUUUCGGUGAAAUUUUUAUUUUUAAUUAAUCUUUUUUUGGUUCUUUCGAAAAUAUUUAAUUGUUAAACUAGGAUUAGAUACCCUAUUAUUUUUUUUGUUAAAUUUUUACCUGGGUAGUAUUAGUUAUAUUCUUUAAACCUAAAGAGUUUGGCGGUAUUUUAUUCUUUUCAGAGGAAUUUGCCCCUUAAUCGAUAGUCCCCGUUUUAUCUUGCUUUAUUUAUUUAGUAUGUAUAUCGCCGUUAUAAGGUUAUUUUAUUAGAAUUAUUUUCUUUAAUCAUUAUUUUGAUUUAUUUCAGGUCAAGGUGCAGCUUAUGAUUUAGUGGAAGAGUGAAUUACAAUAUUUUAUGGGUAUACGGAUUUUAUAUUUAAAAAUUUUAAUUAAGGUGGAUUUGAUAGUAAUUUUAAUGAUAGAGUUAUUUUGACUAUGGCUCUAUAAUAAGUACAUAUUGCCCGUCAUUCUCAUUAUUUGAGACAAGUCGUAACAUAGCGGUCGUACUGGAAGGUGUGUCUGGGAUUAUUAU
rnacentral:ncRNA from 1 species